UACGUAGGUGGCAAGCGUUGUCCGGAAUUAUUGGGCGUAAAGCGCACGCAGGCGGUCCCUUAAGUCUGAUGUGAAAGCCCACGGCUCAACCGUGGAGGGUCAUUGGAAACUGGGGGACUUGAGUGCAGAAGAGGAAAGUGGAAUUCCAUGUGUAGCGGUGAAAUGCGUAGAGAUGUGGAGGAACACCAGUGGCGAAGGCGACUUUCUGGUCUGUAACUGACGCUGAGGCGCGAAAGCGUGGGGAGCAAACAGG
rnacentral:rRNA from 1 species